rnacentral:sRNA from 1 species
UGCGCCUGCGGCGGACCCGGCAGAGACUCUCACCUUCUAUGGCUUCGCAGGCAGCCCGUCUCUGUACGGCCCGGUACAUCCCGGAAUUUUCCGGGCUUUAAUGCCUUCU